GUAACUUUUUCAAUACAGAAAUAUUAUACCAUUUUAUUAGAAACAACGUUAUAUAUUGAACAAAAUGGUUUGAUAAUUAAAGAAUAUAUGAUUAUGCUUAAAAAUAUAAAUUAGGAUGACCUCAGCAGAGCUGGAUUUUCAUUAUUUUUCACCGGUUACGUAGCCAAUCCACUUACACAUUUUCUCCAAGUUAGUAUAGUUGAAAUCCAUUAAAUUUGAUAGCGUCUAAUUGAAUCGCGUCACAAUGUGUCUUUUGCAACAUUUGGUUUCACUUUUUACACAAGAAAGGUAUCAUUUAAUUUGUAUAUUGCAAGAGCCACUGUUUACGAAAUUCUCUACUUCUGAAGUGAAAAAAUAAUUCACUAGUGUUGCCAAGAGAACAUAACUAAAUUGAGCGUAAACAAUAGUCCAAAGUUUUUUUUAUUAUUAAUUAAUUUUUCUUAUUUAAGAAAUGCAAAAAAAAAUGUUUUUUAUAGUUUUAACGUUAAUACAGUAUUGGCAAUAUUGAUACCAGAAACGGGUUAAUGCAAUAACAUAUUGCUUACUCUAUAAAGUUAAUCGUUAAGAAAAUAUUGUGUUAAGUGCAGAAGAAUCGUUAAGAAAUUAAUGUUAACAUAUUCGUUUCUAAUUUUUUAUACACGUUAGUAAAUUUGAGAUUUCAAUAAAAUAUUUUAUUGCCAAUUGAUAAUUAUUUACGAUAUAUUAACUGUCAUGCCUGCAUACUUCAUGGGCAUACCAUAUGUGUUACUGGCUUUAGAAACAUAUGAUAAGUGUUUCGCGACGUCUAUUGGUAGAUUCUACGUAACUACCAAAAAUCAACAACAAAACGUAUCAAAACAAAAAAGUGAUUCAUCUGGAAUUAAAUUUUUGACGUUCGAGAAAAUUUCACAAUUCCGUAUUCUAAUAAAUAUAAUUAUAUUAAAAACUUAAAUAGAGAAAUCGUUGGUUCCGUUAUUAUCCAAUAAUGUCUGUAAAUACAGCACAUGCCAGUAAUGGAGUUUUGAUUCACGCCGGAGAGUAUAUAUUACUGCAUAGUGAUGGCGUUACUAUGGAUUUCUCCGGUCAGGACAAUCCUGUCUUUAAGGGCUCAAAGCAAGGACGAAUAUAUCUGACUUCACAUCGGCUGAUAUUCAACAAUAAAAAACCGGCGGAUGAACUGCAAUCUUUUAGUGCACCUUUUAUAGCACUUUCAGAUGUCGAAUUGGAGCAGCCAGUCUUUGGCGCCAACUAUAUUAAGGCCAAGGUUCGUGCGCAACCAAACGGAAAUUUUAUUGGCGAGGUUAAGUUCAAGCUGCAUUUUAAGUCUGGUGGAGCGAUUGAGUACGGUCAGGCUUUGUUACGUGCUGCUAGCACAGCUCAAAGUAAUUACCAUCGUGGUGGCGCUCCCAACGACGAUCCACCACCAUACACACCAGCAGGUGCUUGGCAUGAGGCACCACCACCGGCCUAUCAGCCACCACCAGGCUACUACGGGUGGCUGCCCACUCACGAGGCGUUCAGUGGCCCAGCCAACGGCACGGUGUUCGUAAGCGAUAAUCCACCACCAUAUCCAGGCAUUGGUGGACCACCAGCUUAUACACCACAACCAUAUGCGCAACCUGGCUAUAAUCCGCAACAGCCAAAUGCUGGCUAUAACCCACAACAGCCACAACCUGGUUACAAUCCACAACAACCGCAAGGUGCUUGGAAUCCACAGCCUCAAUAUGGAAACAAUGAUGCAGCAGCUUGGAAUGGCUUCUCCGCACCACCUUCCGAGCAGCCGCAACAACAACCACAACCUGGAAAUCAGCCACCACCUAACGCGGCUGGUGGAUACAGUCAGCCAGGCGGUUAUCCUCCGAGUGCUCCCGGCGGCUACAAUCCAUCAUAUAACCCUGGUUACAAUCCUGGCUAUCAACCAGGUGGCUAUCCUCAACCAGGGGGUUACCCACCACCAGGCGGUGCACCAGGUGGAGCUGCGGCCGGUGCAAUGGGCUUUGGCAUGCCGCCAGCAAUGCUUUAAAAAAGUGUCGCACAGGUAUGCAAACGCCUAUACUACAAAUAUGUAACGUCGCAAAAAACCAUACGUCCAAAAAUCAAAUCCCUACCAGGUAAUACCACAUAUUAUUACUAUCCGUACUAUACACCACAGCCUUGUGUAAAUUUUGCGUUUAUACCAAUACCAGUUAUUUUCCCAUUCUAAGGAAGCCGAGGCAAUGGCUAGCGCCCAAAAUUCAACCUACAAUCAAUAUUCCAAUAAUGCUGCACCGAGCGACUUGCCACCAGCAUAUGAUGCUCUACCACCUAACUAUAACAGCGCCAAUAAGAAGAAUCAGUAACUGUUACAAUAACAGCAGCAAUAUAAAAAUUAUGUUCGUACACAAUUUUUUACUUAACGUCUUAUCUGUAGAACGUCUCCACAAACUGCGUCACAACUAAAACAUGGACGAAAAUAUGAUUUAAGUAGUAAAAAUUGUUACAAUAUGCGGUUAACUAGCUUGCAGUGUUGCUUCGGUUCAUUGUGUGUGAAAUUUACACAUCUUUUAUUCAUUCCUCUCCAUGUGCGCGUAAAAUAUUUACAUAUAUACCUUAUGAAUAUAUAUAUAUAUAUAUGUACAUAUAUAUUUGCAUUCUUUAUAUGUUUCAACCUAUUAAUACUA